CAUGCAGUCGAGCGGACAGAAGGGAGCUUGCUCCCGGAUGUUAGCGGCGGACGGGUGAGUAACACGUGGGUAACCUGCCUGUAAGACUGGGAUAACUCCGGGAAACCGGAGCUAAUACCGGAUAGUUCCUUGAACCGCAUGGUUCAAGGAUGAAAGACGGUUUCGGCUGUCACUUACAGAUGGACCCGCGGCGCAUUAGCUAGUUGGUGGGGUAAUGGCUCACCAAGGCGACGAUGCGUAGCCGACCUGAGAGGGUGAUCGGCCACACUGGGACUGAGACACGGCCCAGACUCCUACGGGAGGCAGCAGUAGGGAAUCUUCCGCAAUGGACGAAAGUCUGACGGAGCAACGCCGCGUGAGUGAUGAAGGUUUUCGGAUCGUAAAGCUCUGUUGUUAGGGAAGAACAAGUGCGAGAGUAACUGCUCGCACCUUGACGGUACCUAACCAGAAAGCCACGGCUAACUACGUGCCAGCAGCCGCGGUAAUACGUAGGUGGCAAGCGUUGUCCGGAAUUAUUGGGCGUAAAGGGCUCGCAGGCGGUUUCUUAAGUCUGAUGUGAAAGCCCCCGGCUCAACCGGGGAGGGUCAUUGGAAACUGGGAAACUUGAGUGCAGAAGAGGA
rnacentral:rRNA from 1 species